GACGAACCGUGCGACCGUUGUUCGGAAUCACUGGGCUUAAAGGGCGCGUAGGCGGCUCGCGAGGUCGGGGGUGAAAUCCCGCAGCUUAACUGCGGAAGGGCCUCCGAUACCGGCGGGCUGGAGGAAGGUAGGGGUGCGCGGAACUUCUGGUGGAGCGGUGAAAUGCGUUGAUAUCAGAAGGAACGCCGGCGGCGAAAGCGGCGCACUGGACCUUUUCUGACGCUGAGGCGCGAAAGCUAGGGGAGCAAAUGGG
rnacentral:rRNA from 1 species